GACGAACGCUGGCGGCGUGCCUAAUACAUGCAAGUCGAACGCAGUGGGGACGGUUGAGUAACACGUGGGUAACCUCCCAUCAGAGGGGAUAACACUUGGAUACUGGUGCUAAACCGAUACUGAUGGAUGUACUCGGUGGGCAUUAGCUAGUUGGUGGGGUAACGGCUCAGCAAGGCCACGAUGCAUAGCUGACCUGAGAGGGUGAUCGGCCACACUGGGACUGAGACACGGCCCAGACUCCUACGGGAGGCAGCAGUAGGGAAUAUUCGGCAAUGGGCGAAAGUCUGACGGAGCAACGCCGCGUGAGUGAAGAAGGUUUUCGGAUCGUAAAACUCUGUUGUUAGAGAAGCGGUAUCUAACCAGAAAGCCACGGCUAACUACGUGCCAGCAGCCGCGGUAAUAC
rnacentral:rRNA from 1 species